UACGAAGGGGGCUAGCGUUGCUCGGAAUCACUGGGCGUAAAGCGCACGUAGGCGGAUUGUUAAGUCAGGGUGAAUCCUGGAGCUCAACUCCAGAACUGCCUUUGAUACUGGCAAUCUCGAGUCCGGGAGAGGUGAGUGGAACUCCGAGUGUAGAGGUGAAAUUCGUAGAUAUUCGGAAGAACACCAGUGGCGGAAGGCGGCUCACUGGCCCGGUACUGGACGCUGAGGUGGCGAAAG
rnacentral:rRNA from 1 species